UACGAAGGGGGCUAGCGUUGUUCGGAUUUACUGGGCGUAAAGCGCACGUAGGCGGGUUGUUAAGUCAGGGGUGAAAUCCUGGAGCUCAACUCCAGAACUGCCUUUGAUACUGAGGAUCUUGAGUUCGGGAGAGGUGAGUGGAACUGCGAGUGCAGAGGUGAAAUUCGUAGAUAUUCGCAAGAACACCAGUGGCGAAGGCGGCUCACUGGCCCGAUACUGACGCUGAGGCACGAAAGCGUGGGGAGCAAACAGG
rnacentral:rRNA from 1 species